GUCCACGCGCUGCGGCCUUGGAGUAACUGCUGUUCUUAAAGGCUGCCUCCGUCCUGCCGCGCGGCCUUUAGAGGGUUGGAGCUGGCAGAACCGUAACUCCCUCUCUGAGGGUGAAUACGGGCCUUGAUUGCCAGAAGGGCCCUCGGCCGGGGACGCGGGAUGAUGCGGGGCCGGGAGAUGCUUUCCUGGAGGCUGAGAAACCUGGAGGGAGACCCCCAAAACUUCUCAGUUCGCCGACCCCUUGGUCCCAGAGGGAGAGGAGCAUCCCCAAAGAACAUUCAAGUCUGAGCCUCAAGGAGCCUCUGCGACUCGGUGUCUAGAUCCAGGAAAUGGAGAAUGAGCCGUGACUUUGGAUGCUUCACUCUUGUCCAUCAGGCUCGGAAUUGGCCUGUUGAAGUAGGAGGCAGGACUCAACUUCAGACCAGAUUGAAGACUGGCUGACACAGAAGAGGCACCAAAAGCACCUCUCUCUCCAUAAGACAUGCCCACCAGUGCCAUGACAGUUUACCAUUGCUAUGGCAAUGCCCAGAAGUUCUCACCCCUUUUCCAGACAUUUCUGCAUAAUCUACCCCUCAAUUGGCAUGUGAUCAAAAGUGGGUGUCAAAAUGACUGUGGAACUGUCCCUGAGCUGCUACUCUUGACAUGCUGGUUACAGGGUAGCCCGGCUCUGCAGGGACAGUCACGGAGCUGAAAAACUGCUGCCUAAUGAAGCUGUUUUCUUCUACCACCGGCUCACCCUCAAAUUAUUUCCUGAGCGAACUCAAGAACCUUCCUGGGCUAAGCCCCAAUUUUGGGGCUCGCCUGCCCCUGCAUCACAGCUUCCUCUUCUGUUCACAGCUGCAACCGCCUACUCAACCUUCUGCGGUUCCUCUCCCUGCCCCUCCACAGUGGCUGCUGAUGGGAGCUCUGGCUCCCUGCGUUUUCACUAUCUCCCAGUCAAAUGCAGAGUCCCUGUGCAAUUUAAAUGCUUCUCAGCUAAGAACAGAGAAGGGGAUAGCAUAAGGAUAUUCAAAAGAUUCAAGAAAUCUCAAAAGUGAUCACAAAACAUUUGUCUCUGACCAACCAGAAACAUCGACGGGUGAGAAGGGCAUUUCCUCUAGCUGAAUUCUUCAUGGGUCUUCAGGCUCUGUUUUCACUUUGGAUUUUCUGGAGUCUCCUGAAGGUUACCUGAAAUCUUGUUGGUCCUGAAUAUUGUAUGUGGAGUCCCAAGCUGCAAGAAGUCAGUGGGGCUGGACGGGAGCCAAAAUCAGAGACUCAAGCAGCACAGCUGGGCCCCAUUGAAAGUGAGACCAGCUGUCCCAGUUGGAAGCUGGGGUAUAGAGCUGGGGAUGGGUGGAGGCAGUGACAGGCUCCAUGUAUUGGUCAUUCAGACUCCCCAGUAGCCUCAGGACCCAACUCCCACAGGUCAGAGAAGACCUGGUGGAGGGCCUUAUGCAAACCUCAGUGGGUGAUGCAGGAGGGAGUUUUCUGAGCAGGAAUGCCAACAAAAAAGGCCUUCAAAGGAAGGCCCUGCUUGGGACAAUCCUGCCUCUUUAUGGUCUGGUUCACAGGUUCCCCUGGGUGGGGUAAUGGAAUCCAAGCUAAGGUGUCUGACUUCAAAAGUUUUCAGAAAUGCCACUUUUGUAAGCAUCAGGGAUUGGGUUUUCUGAGAUGCAAAACAUCUUUGUUAAGGGGUUAAAGCAUCCUUAAGCUGUUUAGGUUUCUGGGGAUACAUAGACUUAGGAAGUUAGAGCAGGUGAAGUUGAGGGGGAUGGGAACUAAGAAUUAGCUCAAAAUAGUCACCAAUGCAGAAACCCAGGCACUUGGGACCCUGACAGUGGGGAAGGCAGAGGAGUAACUGUGGGGACUUGGGCACCCUAUUAGCAGAAUGGGGUAACAGAGAAGGCAAGAAUUGCUUCCCAGGAGACUGGGCUGGGAACAGGAAGGGGACUAAAAUGCUGUCCCUGGCUGAAGAGUGUGGAGGUAUAGAGGAGCUGGUAGCAGGGCUCUGAAUCCAUACACGAGAGCAAGGACCAGUGGUUUCAGGGUGGGAUAGGGCUUUGAUGUCUUCAUGGACUUAGGGUAAUAUUCACCACCAUGGUGAAUUCCACAAAGGAGAAUUCACACAAAGGUCUCGGACCAGCCAGUUUCCAUGUGAAAAAGCCAUCUGGGAGCAAGGGAACAAACCCAGGAAUACAACUGUAUUGGGGGAAAUUCAGCCAGACAUAGGGCAAAAUUCACCCCCAAUAUUUCAUGUAGGUUCUUUUCUAUUUUCCGUAAGUGUCGGCCGGUCUGAGAAAUAAAGGGACAGAGCUCAAAAGAGAGAAAUUUUAAAGCUGGGUGUCUGGGGGAGACAUCACAUGUCGGCAGGUUCCGUGAUGCCCCCCGAGCCGUAAAACCAGCAAGUUUUUAUUCGUGAUUUUCAAAAGGGGAGGGGGAGUGUAUGAAUAGGGUGUGGGUCACAGAGAUCACAUGCUUCACAAGAUAAUAAGAUAUCACAAGGCAAAUGGAGGCAGGGCGAGAUCACAGGACCACAGGACCGGGGCAAAAUUAAAAUUGCUAAUGAAGUUUCGGGCAUGCAUUUUCAUUGAUAACAUCUUAUCAGGAGACAGGGUCUGAGAGCAGACAACCGGUCUGACCAAAAUUUAUUAGGCGGGAAUUUCCUCGUCCUAAUAAGCCUGGGAGCGCUAUGGGAGACUGGGGCUUAUUUCAUCCCUACAGCUUUGACCAUAAAAGACGGCCGCCCCCCGAAGCGGCCAUUUCGGAGGCCUACCCUCAGGGACACAUUCUCUUUCUCAGGGAUGUUCCUUGCUGAGAAAAAAAAUUUAGCGAUAUUUCUCCCAUUUGUUUUUGAAAGAAGAAAAAUAUGGCUCUGUUCUGCCUGGCUCACCGGCAGUCAGAGUUUAAGGUUAUCUCUCUUGCUCCCUGAACAUUGCUGUUAUCCUGUUCUUUUUUCAAGGUGCCCAGAUUUCAUAUUGUUCAAACACACAUGCUCUACAAACAAUUUGUGCAGUUAACGCAAUCAUCACAGGGUCCUGAGGCGACAUACAUCCUCCUCAUUUUACAAAGAUGAUGGGAUUAAGAGAUUAAAGACAGGCAUAGGAAAUCACAAGGGUAUUGAUUGGGGAAGUGAUAAGUGUCCAUGAAAUCUUCACAAUUUAUGUUCAGAGAUUGCAGUAAAGACAGGCGUAAGAAAUUAUAAAAGUAUUAAUUUGGGGAACUAAUAAAUGUCCAUGAAAUCUUCACAAUCCACAAUUAUUCUGCCAUGGCUUCAGCCGGUCCCUCCAUUUGGGGUUCCUGACUUCCCGCAACACAAGUGGAGAGAGAGGUGGCCUGACAUUAUGGCUAAGUUGAUAUGGAAGCAUUCUGGUUUGUUCUAGAAAAAAUGAAAGAGGUGGUGCAGGUAAUCAUCAGCUCCUGGUUCUGUAGCAAGGCUUUUGCUGCAAUCCCAGGAGGUAGCAACCUAGGCUUUGGUUCUGAAAGAAGAGGGUCUACCUUCCUGAAUCAUUUUUAGGAGUCUGCUGAUGGCCAGGCUUGGUGAGUUGGACUCUGUAAGGAAUUUUUAUUUAAGUGAGGUCUGGGUAGGAAAAGAGAAGGGAAAAACUUGACCCUGCCUGCACCAAAGGAUUCUGGGAAGGAGAAUAAAGAGAAAAACCCUUCUUCAUGUUUCUGCUUCAGAGCAGGAGAACCAUCACAAGCUAAGUAAAGUCAAUGAAGGGCGAGUGGCCCUAUGGCCACCUGGGCACACACCUGCCCCUUGGCCACCUUGCAUAGGCAGGCUGAGGAGGUCACUAAGGCUUGGUUUUCCUGACCUGCCCUGAUUCCACAUGCUGUAAGGAGGACCCAGAAGGCUGUGUGGCUACAGAGGUGCCCAGCAUGGUGGGGGUCACUUCAGUGUGGACACUAGACUGGACCGCGUGGAACUACAACCAGCUCAGAGCGCCAGCCAGAGUGCUGUUCUGGCCAGAAGGAGGAGCCAAGACCCACACCCAGGAGGACAAUGAGCCCCUCUCUGCAGACAGGAGCCAGCCACACCUGGGGUCUGGGGAGACUCUUCCUGAUUCCAAAUGGGACUGAACUUUAAACCAGACUGGGCAUUUGAGCAAUUUUUUAAAAGCUGUCAACCAAAUAAAGGAAUGCCA
rnacentral:lncRNA from 1 species